rnacentral:rRNA from 1 species
AUUGAACGCUGGCGGCAGGCCUAACACAUGCAAGUCGAGCGAGAGGCGGACGGGUGAGUAAUGUCUGGGAAACUGCCUGAUGGAGGGGGCUAACUACUGGAAACGGUAGCUAAUACCGCAUACCAUCAGAUGUGCCCAGAGGGGAUUAGCUAGUAGGUGGGGUAACGGCUCACCUAGGCGAAGAUCCCUAGCCGGUCUGAGAGGAUGACCAGCCAAACUGGAACUGAGACACGGUCCAGACUCAUACGGGAGGCAGCAGGGGGGAAGAUUGCACAAUGGGCGCAAGCCGGAUGCAGCCAUGCCGCGUGGAUGAAGAAGGCCUUCGGGUUGUAAAGUACUUUCAGCGGGGAGGCGUUACCCGCAGAAGAAGCACCGGCUAACUCCGUGCCAGCAGCCGCGGUAAUAC